rnacentral:rRNA from 1 species
ACUCGAGUGGCGAACGGGUGAGUAACACGUGGGUGAUCUGCCCUGCACUUCGGGAUAAGCUUGGGAAACUGGGUCUAAUACCGGAUAGGAGCCAUCCUUAGUGUGGUGGUUGGAAAAUUUUUCGGUGUAGGAUGAGCUCGCGGCCUAUCAGCUUGUUGGUGGGGUAAUGGCCUACCAAGGCGGCGACGGGUAGCCGGCCUGAGAGGGUGUACGGCCACAUUGGGACUGAGAUACGGCCCAG